AAUCAACGCUGGCGGCGUGGCUAAGACAUGCAAGUCGGACGGGCCUCGCAAGAGGUCAGUGGCGGACGGGUGAGUAAUGAAUCGCUAACGUGCCCCUUAGUCUGGGAUAGCCGGCCGAAAGGCCGGGUAAUACCAGAUGACAUGGCCACCGGGCAUCCGGAGGCCCUCAAAGUAGCAAUACGCUUUGGGAGCGGGCGAUUUCGUAUCAGCUAGUUGGUGGGGUAACGGCCCACCAAGGCGACGACGCGUAGCCGGACUGAGAGGUUGGCCGGCCACAUUGGGACUGAGACACUGCCCAGACUCCUACGGGGGGCGUGCAGUAACGAAUCUUCCGCAAUGCACGCAAGUGUGACGGAGCGACGCCGCGUGUGGGACGAA
rnacentral:rRNA from 1 species